ensembl:lncRNA
AGCCAACCCUGUUGUGGGGAAUCAGAGAAGGUAUCUCAAAUGGGAAGUCCAAUCUGGGUGCUUAGAGAUGUGUAAGAGUGAGCCAGGCGAAAGGAGGUGAACGUUCUCAGCUUCUCCUGAUUUGUUAACUUGGAAGUCAUAUUCUUUGUCUACCCCAAAGGACUACAGGUUUCCCCAAAAUUUCAAAGCAUCUUCAUGGAACAACAGAGAAUGCAAACGUUUCCAGACUAUAAUGCUGGGAUAGCUAAAGUGGAAAAUUUGAAUUUGGCAGGACCUCGUAGGGCCUUGAAAAAGGGAGCCAACUGGACUUCCUUUAUAAAGAUUAAGCCAAAAUGUGAUCCUUGGCAAAAGAAGCUUUUGACCAAACUAAAAGAACGGAGAAGAAUAGAUGUAUUAAUGCAACUCCAAGCAAAGUUUUUGAAGAUUUCCAAUCCUGAGCGAGUAAUGCAAGUGCUCCAGGAUCAUGCUGCAAAGACAGUCUUGCUGGCUUCAUCUCAUCCAACAUGUGUGGCUUCCCAGGGCAACUAUGACCAAAUCUGGGAGACUAUUUAUAGCAACAUCAACCUCUACCAGGUACAACAGGAAGAAAUAACCAAUAUGCCUUUCUGUUCAACUCACCACCUGUUUAUAGACCUUAGAAAUUUACUUUGGUAGGUUUUUAGAGAUCCUCCCCCAAAAGAGGAAUAUA